UCUCCUCGCUGGUUUUCUCUCUCGUUCGCUGGAGCCGCUUUAGAAUAGGAUUUGGAAAGGAAGGUUGGGGCAGAGAGAGAGAAGGAGCGGAGGAGCUCACCGCGAGUGGGCUUACCGCACCCGCUUCCUUCGUCGCCUCCUCCUCGUCCAUGGAUUCUUCCCUCUCUUUUUAGGGUUCCAUGCUGCUUUCCACCUUUCCCGGCGAUUGCUUCGGCCUUAAGGGAAGUCGACGAGGGUCCAAUUAGUUCCGGCGGCGCUGAGGCCGUGGUACUCGUUCGAUCCCAUUGAUUGCGGGGGCGGGCUUUCCUCUUCCUCCGCCUCCGUCCUGGCGGCGAAUCGGGGAUCCCUCGCGUUCCUUGCUGAUCUCUGCUAUUUCAAGACCCGGAGUUGCCGGCGCCGCAAGGGCAGCGGCCGCGGCCUGCGCGGGGGUGCCGGAACCAUGCUCUGGCUCGUCCGCCUGUCCGGCCUCUGCUCCGCCGCCAUGGUCAUGGUCGUGCUGUCCCCCUCCUUCCAGUCCUUCCCUCCCGCCGAGGCCAUCCGGUCCUCGCACUACCUCCGGACACCUGGCGGCCGGUAUCAUCGGGUCGCCGCCGUCUCGGAUUUCGCCGACCGCUAUGGAUUCCGCCGCGCGCCGAGUUUCAGCAAUGCCGCCGAUUGCGAGGUCCCUUCCGCUAACGGAACCUCGGUCUGCGACCCGUCGCUCGUGCACAUCGCCAUUACCCUAGACGAGGAGUACCUACGCGGUUCGAUCGCGGCGGUCCACUCGGUGCUCACGCACGCCCGGUGCCCUGAGAGCGUCUUCUUCCAUUUCUUGGUUUCGCAGCCUGGCCUGGAGCCGGUUGUGCGUUCCGCCUUCCCCGGGCUCCGAUUCAAGGCGUACUAUUUCGACCCUGAUCGCGUGCGGGGACUAAUUUCGACGUCGGUGCGCCAGGCGCUGGAGCAACCCCUUAACUACGCCCGCAACUACCUCGCUGACAUCCUCGAGCGGUGCGUGCGCCGGGUGAUCUACCUGGAUUCCGACCUUGUGGUCGUCGACGACAUCGCCAAGCUGUGGCGGACGGGGUUGGGGUCGCGCGCCGUGGGAGCGCCCGAGUACUGCCACGCCAACUUCACCAAGUACUUCACCCCGCGCUUCUGGUCUGACCAACGGCUUGCGGCGGCGUUCGCUGGCCGCCGACCAUGCUAUUUCAACACCGGGGUGAUGGUGCUCGACCUCGUCCGGUGGCGGCGGUUCGGGUACACGCGGCAGAUCGAGCAGUGGAUGGAAGUGCAGAAGGGAGGCGAGGCACCCGGCGGUCCGGGGCGGAUCUACGAGCUGGGCUCGUUGCCUCCUUUCCUGCUCGUGUUCGCAGGGCACGUCGCUCCCAUCGAGCACCGAUGGAACCAGCACGGGCUCGGCGGCGACAACGUCAAAGGCAGUUGCCGGGACCUGCACGCGGGGCCGGUGAGCCUCCUCCACUGGAGCGGCAGCGGCAAGCCGUGGGCGCGGCUCGAUUCAAAUCGGCCGUGCCCGCUCGACCACCUCUGGGCGCCCUACGAUCUAUACGGACCAGCCGUCGCCUGACACUACAUUCACUUCCGCUGCUCUCCGUUUGAAUAAUUCUUCCAACACGAGAAGAAAGAUUCAACCUUGAGGCAAGAAAAGGUGGGGCGACGGAAGCGCCGCUCAACAUUCGGCGGCAGCAAAACAUCAGUGAAAUAUACCUGGCAAAGAUUGUUCAUCAAACAUCAAACUGAGCUGGAAGAGAGUAGUUCCUUUAGCGUAGUGGUCCAUAGCCGUUAGAUGCUGGCACCAAGUGGAAAGGAUCAAAGGAGCUGAGUAUUUUAUGGGGUAAUUAGUGGACCUUGGAUCAUUAUGACGACAGGGAAAUCAAACUUUGUCGUGUUGAUGUGUUGUUCGCUAGGUCUCUUUCUUGAAGCGGCACCUCUUAAAUUUCAGUUCAUAUUGUUUGGUAG